rnacentral:pre_miRNA from 1 species
AAAGUACUCCCUCCGUCCCAAAAUUCGUGUCUUAGAUUUGUCUAGAUACGGAUGUAUCAAGUCACAUUUUAGUAUUAGAUACAUCCGUAUCUAGACAAAUCUAAGACAAGAAAUUUGGGACAGAGGGAGUAGUUG